CCCUUAGACGUUCUGGGCCGCACGCGCGCUACACUGACCGGUGCAACAAGCAUCCGUCCUUGGCCGACAGGCCCGGGCAAUCUUUGAACGCCGGUCGUGAUGGGGAUAGACUUUUGCAAUUUUUGGUCUUCAACGAGGAAUUCCUAGUAAACGCAAGUCAUCAACUUGCAUUGAUUACGUCCCUGCCCUUUGUACACACCGCCCGUCGCACCUACCGAUUGAAUGGUCCGGUGAAGCCUCCGGAUUGGCGUGCACCCUCGGGUGCUGCCGAGAAGUUGGCUAAACCUUACCAUUUAGAGGAAGGUGAAGUCGUAACA
rnacentral:rRNA from 1 species